AACAAGAGGAGGAUAAAAAUGAUUAUGCUGUCACGGAACUGCUGCUAUUCCUCUGCUGUCAUCGCUUCAGUGAUCCUCGCGCUGCUCGCGCGCACAAAAGCUCACCUCAUCAUCAUCAUCAUCGGAUUUGAAAGUAACGGCUCCCCUCAUCAAAGCCUGCCGCCGCAUCCGCGGUUUGCUCGGCUAUCCGUUAUAAGAUUCUCUCCAAUAAACAACCAUUUCUGAAAUAAUCUCGAAAUGUUAGAGUACCUGAACCAUGUAAGUAUUGAAUUACAAUUUUCUGUGUGAAAUUGUAGCCUAUGUUUGACUGUGUACUUGUGUUUUUAACUUUACCUACCUACUGUAAAUCUAAUUUCAAUGACAGUUUGGGAGAUAUUCACAGAUCAAGAUAUACAAGGUGCUGUAAUGUGGUGAGUUUUAGAAGUAAGGUUAAGGGAUAUUAAUUUAAUUUUAAGCUGCUCUUUUCCAUUUAUCAAAAGUGAUUGGGUAUAGGAAACUUCAAAAUUAACUUAAAACCAUUCAUACACUAUAUUCCUAGUUUUUAGAAGUCAUACAAUAGCUAUUUGUGAUGAACAGACACAAAUUUAAUCCAUUAUUCUCUGAAAAUCUUCCCUCGUGCUCUCAAAUCUCAUUCACGUUACUCAUAUAAAUAAUAUGACAGGUAUGGCAUCAAUGAUGCUAGAUGCCUUUUUUCUUAUGCCUUAAUCAUUUGCAUUUGAAUUUAAGACAUUUGAACUUGAAAUUACAUCUUCAAGUUUAGUCUUUUUUAUAAAAACAAAGAAAGAAAAAAGAAAGAUAUUGUGUGGCUUCAGAAGACUUACAACACAACUCAUAACACAUGAUUUGUGCACUCGUAUGAUACUUUUUAGGAUCUUUUCUUGGACAUUUUUGGAGCUUAGAAUAUUUAUCCAUUUUACAUAGAUUGAUGCAUUGAAUUGAAUGAGACUUGAAUUGAUUAAUGAAUGAUUUACACAAUUUUUUUUCUGUUUGUGUUUCAUGCAAUGAAAUUGAACGGUGACUGCAUUAUGCCUGAGAUCUGCUUUUGGGUUCCACAGACAGAGUCAAACAGGGAUCUUGACCUAGUAUACUGAAACAAAAAUCCCCCUGUAGACCUGGAAAUCAUUGAAGUGCCUGGAUCAUCCACCAAAAAAGAGGAAAAAGAAGCCUAGCAGAAAACAAAGCUGCUGUACCUUUUUACUUUUCUGAUUAAUUACCUCAAAUGUACCUUGUGAAGAUUUUAUUAUUGAUUGGAUUUUAUGUUGCCGCGAGUAAAGGUGCAGUCACAUUUGUGACAUUUCUGUGAAAUCACGCAGGCAAAAAGGUCCAUUUAUCAUUUUCAGCAAUAUAGUGACGUAUUAUAUGAUGGAGCUCAUAUUGGAGUCACUUUCAGUCAGCUUUCUGUUGGUCAAAUCUGGCGAAUUUGAGUAACCAACUUGGACUCAUAGUGAAAUUUUUGACCACACAUGAAAUUAAUGAUUGUGUGGAUUUCUAUUGAAAUUCCUGGAAUUCAUUUUCCAAACAGCAGCAAAUUUUACUGCACCUUAAAGGGUUAGUUCACCCAAAAAUGAAAUUUCU